CAAACAAAUGUAGGUGAUGUCAGUGUGAAGGAGAGCUUCACGUUAAGCCUUCAUUGCCUGCAUUUAAAGACAAACAGCUGCCUGAGCUUCAGCUGGAGGAGGAAAAGGAAGACACCAUCAAGCAUGAAUGUUGAAUCUCUUCUGCUGGGAUAGAAAUAGAUAAUGGACCUGCCAGAUGGAAGAUCAAAUCUUGAAAGCAGAACUGAGAUCCAUAUCUCCACCUGAGAAAGCAAAAUACUGUAAAUAUAUACAUAUAAUAAUUUAAAAAAAUCAGAAUCUUGGACUUCCUUUCCAAAAUGCCAAGAGAGAGGCAUUCCUGUUGGAUUAAGCACUUCAGUGGCUAGUGUGUGCUUCAUGCCAUCACUACAGGGACUAUGGUGGUCUGGCACAUAGGAAUGUUGUUAAGGACAAGGCUGUCUAGUUGGGACCUCACAGGUGAAAUGGUGGUGUGGCAAGGCCAUACGCAGAAGUCAACUACGAGAAUUGCUGUCCCAAAGCAAUCCCACACUUCCUUAGAAAGCAAGGACUCAAACUCAGAAGUUUUUGGCUUUUCAAAGCGCUACAAGUAGCUCUCACCUGGUGCUUUAAUGAUGAACUGGUUGCUUGUGGUUGGCAUUCUGGCAUACGUGCAGCUGGACACAUACACAUGUAUACAUUUCACUAUUUUGCUCCAUGUACUUUGACCUUCAGCACUAAAGUAGGACUCUGUCUGCAGCAUUUAUGUCAAACCUGCUAUAUCUUCAUCACUCAUCAAGGCUUUGCAUCAGACAAAGAGGCUGUGUCACCUUUCCUCUCUUUCCUUCUGACUCUCCUUUCUAUCAUGAGCUUUUAGAGCUAUGAUAAACAGCAGAGAGCCAUAUACAGCAUAACGAUAACCCAGAUGACAAUGUCAAAUCUGCAUUCAUUCCAUGUGUGAGUGUUACUGAAGAAGAAGACACCAGGGAAGGGUGAUCAGAACUGGCAAGAAAAAAAAAAAGAAAGAAAGAAAGGAAAGAAAGGAAAAUAGAAAUAGAAUGAGGCUAACCCAAAUUCUAGUUAAAUAAGAAUUUAUGAAAACUCUACAUCAGAUUAGAGAGACACUUGAACCAAAACCAUAUUUUAAAAUACUCGUGGAAGACAGCUCAUUGCCUCAGAACAUGUUUUCAGUGGAAAAUCUCAUUGCCACAGUGUUUCUUGGUCUAGAGAGUUGCAGUUUGCAGGUUACUCCUCACUCAGUUACAUACUCACUUAUGUAAAAAGAUCAUUUACAAAAGGAGAGGAGGUUGUGCUUUUGGCAGCUUAAGUGGGCCUGCCCUUGAGAGACUUCCUGGAAUAUUGAUCUGCCCUUUUCUGGAAGACACUGGGAAAUGAAAAAGGAUCAAGAGAAGACAAUGGCAAUAAAAGGAAAGGACCAGCACUGUGAUCCCCAGAGGCAGAGACCCCAUGGUGUUUGAGAAGUGCCCCAGUGCAGCAGUGGGACUUCAUGGCCUACUGCCUUUUCCUCACUUUAGAGAAAAAGUGGAAGAACAGGACCCAGCUUACAAAUAAUCUAGGAAAAACUGGCUGAUCUGGACCUUAAUACAAUAAAAAACGGCUUAAGGGCAUGGACCAAUGUUGCAAAACAUGUCUGUGACAGAGCAGAUAGCUGCAUUCUAGUAUCCUUAUCUAUUAAAGGAUCCUCUGCUAUUGAAAUAUUCUUCCCAAGUGUAUCUAUAUAUAACUUGCAUAAUAACAGAUGCUAUUCUAGGGAAAGAAAUGUAAAUAAGUAAAUGAAUAAUAAAAGCAUAAGAAAUUACGUAAAUGGUUGUGAAAGGGAAUUGAAGUAACUGUAUAGAUAGCAGUGCGACCCUGGCUAGAAGAAGAAGACAAUAUUUCCUGUAAACAUGUUGUACUAUUGUGAAAACAAGCAGAAAAAUGUAGGGUUAUCAACAGAAAACCCCAAUGCUUAACAAUAGGGAAAAUUAGGAUAAAGUCACUUGAGAUCAUUAGGUCAUCCUCAUUAGAGAAGUUUAAAAUUACUUUUGAUUAAAUACAAGACAGAGCUCUAUGGAGGAGUUCUUACAUGCUAUCAAGACUAGAUCGAGAGAAGAAUCUGUAGUUUUGUGUGAACAAAGACAAAACUUCAUGUGAGAUAUUAAUUGUAUCUUUAUUCACAUGAAAUUCAAGUCCUGCAGAUACUGGCUCUGACUUGUCACCAAUAGGCUGGCCUGACAUUUUCAGGUUUGCUCCAGCACUCUCCUUUUUAUUUACACAAUAGAGAUUUCUUUCCUUCCUACAGUGUAUGUCCAUCUUUGAAGUUUUCAAUACUGGAGAGUUCGUUCUUCUGCUUAAAGGCUUGCAAUCUUUCCUUAUUUCAAGGUAACUCUCCAGAGGUAGGAGAGGAUGGACAUAAUGACUACGAGGUCCUCCCUCUGAUUGAAAACUGAUAGGAAAGAAUUUCUGUGCCUUUUCUAUCUCUUCAACAGACUUCAAAAUUUGUCUCCAGUCCUUCUUAAAAGAAUAAUGCCAUCAUAAUUUCUGCUCUAGCUCUUCUGUAGCUCGGUACAUCUACAGGUGGCACAGCACACAUUCAGCCCUCUAACCUGGCAUGGCAGUGGCAAAAAUUCACUGCACAAUAUUAAUUUAUCCUUCUGCUCUUGGCUUUCUACUUUCAGAGCCUCUGGGGAUAUUCUUCCCUAGGGUAGGGAGAGCAAGGACGCCAAGCAGCCUGGGGGAAGGCUAGUAUGACCUUGAUUUAGCAAUAGUGCAGCCAUGAGAUUUUUUGUGGUGGAGUUUGAAAUAUCUGUUAUUUUGCAUAGCAGAGAUAAAUUGCACUAAAAGGAAUGGGGAACAUGAUGGUAAUUAACAGAAAUGAAAAGAUUUAUCUGUCCAAGUUGAAAGAAGUAGCUGGCCAGUGAAGGAAUGGCUGUACGUCUGUUUGGAGGGUUGCAUAUCUCAGACGUGCUCUGCAGCUCACAAGCUGAAAUCACAGAAUCGUAGGGGUUGGAAGGGUCCUCUGAAAAUCAUCAAACCCACAACCCUGCAAAAGCAGGCUCCCUACAGUAGGUUGCACAGGUAGGUGUCCAGGCAGGUUUUGAGUAUCCCCAGAGGAGAUUCCACAACCUCUCUAUAGACAUCUAAACUCCCCAAACUACUUGAUCACUCAGCUACAACUCCUUGGGCAUUUCCAGUUGUGAUGGUGUCAGUACUGUUGCUAACACGGGUAGUGCAAAAGUUUUUCAGAGAUCCCAGAGCUGAAAGAUCCUUACCUGUAUUUCUAUUUUCCUUUCUGUGCUAAUAACAGCAGCUCUAUUCCUAAUAAAAAUAUUCAGAGUACUGUGUUACGUCUGUUUCUUAAAUUGUGAUCAUUAUGUGACUAAUCAUAAUAAUAAUAUGAUAUUAGGGAAAAAAAUGUUAGAA